CAUUGUGUAGAGCAUAUCUCAAAUACCCUAAAACAAGCAAUAACUCAAUUUUGACAAAAUUGUCAGUUGAUUCCUUUUGUCAAAGUAGGGCAGAUUGUUUGGGACACAUGGAUUUAC